AUUGAACGCUGGCGGCAGGCCUAACACAUGCAAGUCGAGCGGAUGAGGGAAGCUUGCUUCCCGAUUUAGCGGCGGACGGGUGAGUAAUGCCUAGGAAUCUGCCUAUUAGUGGGGGAUAACGUUCCGAAAGGAACGCUAAUACCGCAUACGUCCUACGGGAGAAAGUGGGGGAUCUUCGGGCCUUGCGCUAUCAGAUGAGCCUAGGUCGGAUUAGCUAGUAGGUGGGGUAAAGGCUCACCUAGGCGACGAUCCGUAACUGGUCUGAGAGGAUGAUCAGUCACACUGGAACUGAGACACGGUCCAGACUCCUACGGGAGGCAGCAGUGGGGAAUAUUGGACAAUGGGCGAAAGCCUGAUCCAGCCAUGCCGCGUGUGUGAAGAAGGUCUUCGGAUUGUAAAGCACUUUAAGUUGGGAGGAAGGGCAGUAAGUUAAUACCUUGCUGUUUUGACGUUACCAACAGAAUAAGCACCGGCUAACUUCGUGCCAGCCGCCGCUGUAAGAC
rnacentral:rRNA from 1 species